rnacentral:lncRNA from 1 species
UCCUCCCUCCCUCCCUUCCUCCCUCCCUCCCUUCCUCCCUCCCUCCCUUCCUCCCUCCCUCCCUUCCUUCCUUCCUGCGGCCUUUCCUCCCUCCUUUAACGGGGCUGUGUUUGCUGCUCUGCUGUUCUUGGUGGUGGGAGUAAUUGCAAACCUCAAGUAUGCAAAACCCAGUUGGAAAUGUUCAAAAAACGCGGCCAAAUAGGCAUUUCCCUUCCAAAUAACUAGCUGGAUUCCACUGUUGGAUUUUAAAAACCUUUAUCUUCGCUAAAUAUUUGACUUUGAUUUUCAUGCUCUCUCACUGUGUAAGUAUUUUGAAAUAGGUUAAAAGAACAGAGAAAUGAACAUCGUCCAGAAACAUUGAUCCUACAUUGCACUUAGUGAUAAGACUCCUGGGCUGCAGAUGAGGGAACUUACCUUUGCUUCUGGUCCUGCCAGGAUGGAGCUGUGUGACUUAGAAAGCCAUUUGCCCUCUCUGGUCUUAUUGUUUCAUCUUUCAAAUUAAAUGGCUUGGGAACCCAGGUGGGAAAUUAUUAUUAUUUUAUUGUUGUUUGAAUGCUCAGUCCCUCUCCCUGUCCUUCCGGUAGUGAGACCCUUUGCUUCCCUUGGGGACCCUUCCUCUUCCAUGCUCACUUAUUUCAGACAGGGCUGUUCCAGGAGCUUGAGAUUUGGGAUCGCCUUUUUGGAAGCAGGUGUGGGAAAAGAGGCUCCCUUAUUACAUGGAGGGAUUACUAGAAAAAUGUUGAUAUUUUAAAGGUGACUAGCAGACCAAACUAGCUAUUGCUGCAUAACAAAUUAUUAUAGACUUAGUGGCUUAAAACUACGCACCUGUGUUCUCAGGGUCUCUAAGGGCCUGGGGAGUGAUAUGGCUUGGCUGGGUUCUGAGCAUGGCCACCUUCAGCACUGCCCUAGGCUGCCGUCAGGUGGGGACCAAGCUACAGAGCCUUCGAAGGCUGACUGGGGAGAGCUCCGCCCUCCACUGGCUCCCUCAGGUUUGGGGAAGGAUUUAUUUACUUCUAGCUACAGGGUGGGGGCUUCGGUUUCUGCCUGGAAGCUGCUCUCAGCAACCAGUUGGUCCACAGCUCCUUGCACAUGGCCUCUCUACCACAGCAAUCAUGCUGGCAUGCUCACCUGUACUGGUGACAGGAGGUUCCUGAGCCCUGUGAGUCAUCUGUGGAGGGAUUCUGUCGUGGGGGUGUGGGAGACAGCGGGGCGCAGGCUGCCAUCCAAGCGGCCUCCCCCAUCUCCCCGCAGGGCCUUCCUCCCCUAGCCUGGCAGCCUGGGGAGCUGACCUUUCGUAUCCAGGGCUCAUGGGUGAUGGGAACAGCAUGGAUCUUCUACUGGACAAACCUGGACUUGGGUCCUGGCUAGUGUUUGCCCAGCAGCCGUGACCCCGUGGCCCUGGUGUUCUCAGGGUCAGUGCAGGGAGAUCGACAGCCGUCACACCCUGCGGAGAGGGUCCACUUGUGGGUAUUAAAGAGCACUUGACUCUGUUUUUUAUUCUCCUGGGAAUUGGUGUCAGUCCUCCAAUCAGAUAUGCAAGAGGUCGAUAUUUUUCUUUACUUUUAUGGUAUUGGAGUUAUUUUCUGCUUUGAGCUCUCAACCCUGGGGAGAAUAGAAACAGACUGGCUCAGUGCCUUUCCUCAGUGUAAACUCCAGGUCGAGGAGGGCUUAUGUGGGGCCAUGGAGGGCUCUAGGGCUCAUGCUCCCUGGGGUCUCCUCCACCGGUAUUCCCGGUGGCCUUUGGCCACCCAUUCUGUGUGGCUCACAGUCGGGUGAAUCCCCCGGGACUUCAAGCCCUCUUUAGGUCCAGCUAGGGACUGCUCGGAUAGAAACCCUGCCAGUCAUCCUCAGACCUUUUUGUCACCUUUGAAGCCAACAGGGAUUAAAACAGCUUAACCUAUGGGGCUCCUGUGAAAAUUAAUUGGGUUAUUACUUAGUGCUGGGAGCACACUGAGUCCUCAAUAAAUGAGAUUUACUUUAUCGUGCUGGAGUCGGGGGACACUGUUUGCUCUUCUGCCUGGCUCUUGGUCCCUUAGGCUCUUCCCAGGAAAGGCAGGACUUGGACCCUCUAGUCUUCUCUCCAAGAUGAGGGAUACAGAGGGCCGUCAGAAUCUGUGCGCUCUUGGCUUCCGUCUUGGGAGAGGUCCAGCUCUGAGAAUCUGCAUUAGUCUGGGAGACAGUGAGAGGGCAGGAAGCCUGGCUGCUCCCCAGCAUGCGUUCUCCCGAAGAAGCAUCUCCACCGGGCUCUGGAACUCGAAGCCAAGUACCAGCUCCUUUGAGGCUUUCUGCUCUGCUGUCCCAUCAGUGAGCCACAGAUACAGGUGCACAGUGGCAGAACGUGGGAGAUGCAGGGGUCAGGGAAGUCAUGAGAAGCCCUUUGUCAAUAUUCGCAGAAGUCAAUUCCCCCUGGUUCUCCGUGACCUGAAAGAAGGUGCCUGUGUUGAGGAGCAGCUGCAGGGGACGCCC